rnacentral:rRNA from 1 species
ACUCCUACGGGAGGCAGCAGUGAGGAAUAUUGGUCAAUGGGCGUAAGCCUGAACCAGCCAAGUCGCGUGAGGGAUGAAGGUUCUAUGGAUCGUAAACCUCUUUUAUAAGGGAAUAAAGUGCGGGACGUGUCCCGUUUUGUAUGUACCUUAUGAAUAAGGAUCGGCUAACUCCGUGCCAGCAGCCGCGGUAAUACGUAGGGAGCAAGCGUUAUCCGGAUUUACUGGGUGUAAAGGGCGGGUAGGCGGGCAUGCAAGCC